CAAAGAAAAAUACACCGAAACAUUGAUGCUACAUCGAUUAGCUGUGUUAUGUGCAUUGUAUAAGAAAAAAGAAGCGGACUGGCGGCCGGAGGGAUUGACAGGGAAUCAAACUUGGACUCCUGCAUAGCUUGUAAGCUGCUCUAAUCCACCCAUGCCGACAUCCCGGUCAGCACAAUCCAAACCACUAAGUGUAUCUGGUCACCAGCAAUUGGACCUGCCUGAGCUUCUUGUAUCUGAUCACCAGCAAUUGAACUUGCCUAUCUGCCAUUUUCAUCUAGUUGGAAAUGAUGUAGUUUACUCAAUGGUGUGUAGACUGUCAACAUGUGAAACCUACAUAGUCUCCUCUGUUAAAGAUCACUAAUGGUGGAUAAACAAUGAGUGAUGCAGACUAUUCACCAAAAGGGAGUUUUGACACCUGUAUGCCUAUAUUUCUACCAAUCACCCUGUUAUCUUUUUUGUCAUGUUCUUUGGACAGGUAAAAUAACAAGGUAAAACAAGUAGAAAGAAAAGGCUGGAGCAAAGAUGAGAAAAGCACCAUAUGCCAAGGGUUUGUGAGGAGAGUAGCAGAUCAGAAACCUUUGACUAGAGAAGAUGUGAAUGGAGACAGAUUCUGAUGAUGCCAUCAUUGGGAGGCAGGAUGACUAUAAGACACUAAUUCCUCAUCCAUAAAGAUUUCUACAAGUGGUUCAUUUGAAAUGAAUACAGAUUUCAUUACAAGGCGCGAGUAUGUUCAAAGGAAACAGCCAAUCAAAAUGAACUUAGUCAGUUAUAGUUGUAUAUAUAACGAGAGACAAUUUAUUUUUAUUUUUUCAUUUUUGGCAUCUUAUUUUAGGCCUACAGUAUUAAUUUUGGACUCAUGAGCUAAGAAUAUCAUAUCUUUAGCAGAAUUGUCCCACUUAAUUAAAGGGAACUUUUUUUUUAGGGGUGCAUGGUGCAACAUCCUGG